AGAGUUUGAUCAUGGCUCAGAAUGAACGCUGGCGGCGUGCCUAACACAUGCAAGUCGGAUGUGCCGCAAGGUGCAUGGCAGACGGGUGAGUAACGCGUGGGGAAUCUACCUCUUUGUGGGGAAUAACGCUCCGAAAGGAGUGGUAAUACCGCAUGAGACCAAUGGCUGGAAUGCUGUUGGUGAAACCUGGGGACCGCAAGGCCUGGGGCAAGGAGAGGAUCCUGCGUCUGAUUAGCUAGUUGGCGGGGUAACGGCCCACCAAGGCGACGAUCAGUAGCCGGCCUGAGAGGGUGAUCGGCCACACUGGAACUGAGACACGGUCCAGACUCCUACGGGAGGCAGCAGUGGGGAAUUUUGCGCAAUGGGCGAAAGCCUGACGCAGCAACGCCGCGUGGGUGAUGAAGGUCUUCGGAUCGUAAAACCCUGUCGUCGGGGACGAAGGUAGCUUGGUUAACACCCGAGUUGCUUGACGGUACCCGGAGAGGAAGCCCCGGCUAACUCUGUGCCAGCAGCCGCGGUAAUACAGAGGGGGCAAGCGUUAUUCGGAAUUAUUGGGCGUAAAGGGCGCGUAGGCGGUUUUUUAAGUCAGAUGUGUAAUCCCCGAGCUCAACUUGGGAACUGCAUCUGAGACUGGAAGGCUAGAGUACUGGAGAGGGUGGUAGAAUUCCACGUGUAGCGGUGAAAUGCGUAGAGAUGUGGAGGAAUACCAGUGGCGAAGGCGGCCACCUGGACAGUAACUGACGCUGAGGCGCGAAAGUGUGGGUAGCAAACAGGAUUAGAUACCCCGGUAGU
rnacentral:rRNA from 1 species